UACGAAGGGGGCUAGCGUUGCUCGGAAUGACUGGGCGUAAAGGGCGCGUAGGCGGAUGGCACAGUCAGAUGUGAAAUUCCCGGGCUUAACCUGGGGGCUGCAUUUGAUACGUGUUGUCUAGAGUGAGGAAGAGGGUUGUGGAAUUCCCAGUGUAGAGGUGAAAUUCGUAGAUAUUCGGAAGAACACCAGUGGCGAAGGCGACUUACUGGACACAUAUUGACGCUGAGGUGCGAAAGCGUGGGGAGCAAACAGG
rnacentral:rRNA from 1 species